rnacentral:rRNA from 1 species
UACGGGGGGGGCAAGCGUUGUUCGGAAUUACUGGGCGUAAAGGGCUCGUAGGUGGCCAACUAAGUCAGACGUGAAAUCCCUCGGCUUAACCGGGGAACUGCGUCUGAUACUGGAUGGCUUGAGUUUGGGAGAGGGAUGCGGAAUUCCAGGUGUAGCGGUGAAAUGCGUAGAUAUCUGGAGGAACACCGGUGGCGAAGGCGGCAUCCUGGACCAACACUGAC